rnacentral:rRNA from 1 species
GAGUGAAAAAGUACGUGAAAUUGUUGAAAGGGAAGGGCUUGAGAUCAGACUUGGUAUUUUGUAUGUUACUUCUUCGGGGGUGGCCUCUACAGUUUAUCGGGCCAGCAUCAGUUUGGGCGGUAGGAGAAUUGCGUUGGAAUGUGGCACGGCUUCGGUUGUGUGUUAUAGCCUUCGUCGAUACUGCCAGCCUAGACUGAGGACUGCGGUUUAUACCUAGGAUGUUGGCAUAAUGAUCUUAAGUCGCCCGUCUUGAAACACGGACCAAGGAGUCUAACGUCUAUGCGAGUGUUUGGGUGUAAAACCCGUACGCGUAAUGAAAGUGAACGUAGGUGGGGGCCCGUAUGGGUGCACCAUCGACCGAUCCUGAUGUCUUCGGAUGGAUUUGAGUAAGAGCAUAGCUGUUGGGACCCGAAAGAUGGUGAACUAUGCCUGAAUAGGGUGAAGCCAGAGGAAACUCUGGUGGAGGCUCGUAGCGGUUCUGACGUGCAAAUCGAUCGUCGAA